rnacentral:rRNA from 1 species
UACGGAAGGUCCGGGCGUUAUCCGGAUUUAUUGGGUUUAAAGGGAGCGCAGGCGGCCUUUUAAGCGUGACGUGAAAUGUACGGGCUCAACCGGUGCAGUGCGUCGCGAACUGAAUGGCUUGAGUGGGCUCGAGGGAGGCGGAAUUCGUGGUGUAGCGGUGAAAUGCUUAGAUAUCACGAAGAACCCCGAUUGCGAAGGCAGCCUCCCAGUGCCUUACUGACGCUAAAGCUCGAAGGUGCGGGUAUCGAAC